CGGCAGGUGGAGGAGCGGCGCCUCGGCGUGCGCGAAGGGCUCGACCUGGUGCUGACCGAACAGGGGCGCGAGGUCGCCGACCGCCUCGCCGA
rnacentral:tRNA from 1 species